GGGCGCGUAGCUCAGCGGCUAGAGCGUCUCAGUGACAUUGAGAAGGUCACAGGUUCAAGUCCUGUCGCGCCCA
rnacentral:tRNA from 1 species